rnacentral:rRNA from 1 species
GAUGAACGCUAGCUACAGGCUUAACACAUGCAAGUCGAGGGACCGGCGCACGGGUGAGUAACACGUAUCCAACCUGCCCUUUACUCGGGGCUAGCCUUUCGAAAGAAAGAUUAAUACCCGAUGUAAAGGAUGGGGAUGCGUUCCAUUAGGUUGUUGGUGAGGUAACGGCUCACCAAGACUUCGAUGGCAAGGGGUUCUGCGAGGAAGGUCACCACAAUUGGAACUGAGACACGGUCCAAACUCCUACGGGAGGCAGCAGUGAGGAAUAUUGGUCAAUGGGCGUUAGCCUGAACCAGCCAAGUAGCGUGAAGGAUGAAGGCUUAUGGGUCGUAAACUUCUUUUAUAUAAGAAUAUGUAUUAUAUGAAUAAGGAUCGGCUAACUCCGUGCCAGCAGCCGCGGUAAUUC